UUGACCCCAAUCCUGUCGGUAGAGCAGAAAAACGUUACCAAGAGACACACAUUGCAUCGAGGCAAAUAAUUGAACGUGCCUUCGGUGUACUUAAAAGCCGGUUUCGAUGUUUAGACACUUCCGGCGGUGCUCUUUUGUACUCACCGGCGAAGGUUUGCGGCAUGGUAAAUGCAUGUUGUAUUUUACACAACAUAUGUGUCGCAAACCGUUUGCCGGUGACUCUUCGUCGCAGUGCUUUCCGACGCGGGAACCGGUCUUCUGCUCUACCGGUGGGUAUGGACGAAGGAGAGGAUUCCCGGCGGACAUUGAUCCAAAAUUAUUUUGCAGUUGCCUAGUUUUACAUCCUGUUGAUGUAUAUCCCCAGGCCAUGUUUGUACAGUUCGUUACCCCGUUUUAUCCUGUUGUUGGGUUACCGCAAAUAUUUGAUCCUUUUAUCCAACUCUACCAUGGGUGACCCUACUGGUGAUGUGGACCUGACCCUCCGCCAUGUAGCAGACAACCCCCCCUCAGGUCCUGCGAUGUAUCUUCCUAAGUGGCGUGGAUGUGAAGAGGCACAGUUCCCCUGAUGUUCCCUGGGCAAUCUACUUACGUACAAUUCAACUGCAUUACAAAUUUUAAUAAAAACCACAGGAAACUUCUAUUUUUAAAAGUUUAUUGAAGAAAAAUGUUAUUUUUUAAAUAAAGUUUGAAAGUUAAUUAAAACAAAAAA